CGGGGUGCAGCAGGCGCGAAAACUUUACAAUGCGGGAAACCGUGAUAAGGGAACUCCGAGUGCCCGUAAAAUCAGGCUGUCCAUCUGUUUAAAUAACAGGUGAAGAAAGGGCCGGGCAAGACCGGUGCCAGCCGCCGCGGUAAUACCGGCGGCUCGAGUGGUGGCCACUAUUACUGGGCUUAAAGCGUUCGUAGCUGGUCUGUUAAGUCUCUGGGGAAAUCUACUGGCUUAACCAAUAGGCGUUUCAGGGAUACUGGCAGACUAGGGACCGGGAGAGGUGAGGGGUACUCCAGGGGUAGGAGUGAAAUCCUGUAAUCCUUGGGGGACCACCUGUGGCGAAGGCGCCUCACCAGAACGGCUCCGACAGUGAGGGACGAAAGCUGGGGGAGCAAACCGGAUUAGAUACCCGGGUAGUCCCAGCCGUAAACGAUGCGCGUUAGGUGUAUCGGUGACCACGAGUCACCGAGGUGCCGAAGAGAAAUCGUGAAACGUGCCGCCUGGGAAGUACGGUCGCAAGGCUGAAACUUAAAGGAAUUGGCGGGGGAGCACAAGGGCGAAUUCGC
rnacentral:rRNA from 1 species